UUAAGCGACUAAGCGUACACGGUGGAUGCCCUGGCAGUCAGAGGCGAUGAAGGACGUGCUAAUCUGCGAAAAGCGUCGGUAAGGUGAUAUGAACCGUUAUAACCGGCGAUGUCCGAAUGGGGAAACCCAGUGUGAUUCGUCACACUAUCGUUAACUGAAUACAUAGGUUAACGAGGCGAACCGGGGGAACUGAAACAUCUAAGUACCCCGAGGAAAAGAAAUCAACCGAGAUUCCCCCAGUAGCGGCGAGCGAACGGGGAGCAGCCCAGAGUCUGAAUCAGCUUGUGUGUUAGUGGAACGGUCUGGAAAGUCCGACGGUACAGGGUGAUAGUCCCGUACACCAAAAUGCACAGGUUGUGAACUCGAAGAGUAGGGCGGGACACGUGGUAUCCUGUCUGAAUAUGGGGGGACCAUCCUCCAAGGCUAAAUACUCCUGACUGACCGAUAGUGAACCAGUACCGUGAGGGAAAGGCGAAAAGAACCCCGGCGAGGGGAGUGAAAAAGAACCUGAAACCGUGUACGUACAAGCAGUGGGAGCACCUUCGGGUGUGACUGCGUACCUUUUGUAUAAUGGGUCAGCGACUUAUAUUCUGUAGCAAGGUUAACCGUAUAGGGGAGCCGCAGGGAAACCGAGUCUUAACUGGGCGUUAAGUUGCAGGGUAUAGACCCGAAACCCGGUGAUCUAGCCAUGGGCAGGUUGAAGGUUGGGUAACACUAACUGGAGGACCGAACCGACUAAUGUUGAAAAAUUAGCGGAUGACUUGUGGCUGGGGGUGAAAGGCCAAUCAAACCGGGAGAUAGCUGGUUCUCCCCGAAAGCUAUUUAGGUAGCGCCUCGUGAAUUCAUCUUCGGGGGUAGAGCACUGUUUCGGCUAGGGGGUCAUCCCGACUUACCAACCCGAUGCAAACUACGAAUACCGAAGAAUGUUAUCACGGGAGACACACGGCGGGUGCUAACGUCCGUCGUGAAGAGGGAAACAACCCAGACCGCCAGCUAAGGUCCCAAAGUCAUGGUUAAGUGGGAAACGAUGUGGGAAGGCACAGACAGCCAGGAUGUUGGCUUAGAAGCAGCCAUCAUUUAAAGAAAGCGUAAUAGCUCACUGGUCGAGUCGGCCUGCGCGGAAGAUGUAACGGGGCUAAACCAUGCACCGAAGCUGCGGCAGCGACACUAUGUGUUGUUGGGUAGGGGAGCGUUCUGUAAGCCUGCGAAGGUGUGCUGUGAGGCAUGCUGGAGGUAUCAGAAGUGCGAAUGCUGACAUAAGUAACGAUAAAGCGGGUGAAAAGCCCGCUCGCCGGAAGACCAAGGGUUCCUGUCCAACGUUAAUCGGGGCAGGGUGAGUCGACCCCUAAGGCGAGGCCGAAAGGCGUAGUCGAUGGGAAACAGGUUAAUAUUCCUGUACUUGGUGUUACUGCGAAGGGGGGACGGAGAAGGCUAUGUUAGCCGGGCGACGGUUGUCCCGGUUUAAGCAUGUAGGCUGGUUGUCCAGGCAAAUCCGGAUAAUCAAGGCUGAGGUGUGAUGACGAGGCACUACGGUGCUGAAGUAACAAAUGCCCUGCUUCCAGGAAAAGCCUCUAAGCAUCAGGUAACAUUAAAUCGUACCCCAAACCGACACAGGUGGUCAGGUAGAGAAUACCAAGGCGCUUGAGAGAACUCGGGUGAAGGAACUAGGCAAAAUGGUGCCGUAACUUCGGGAGAAGGCACGCUGGUGUGUAGGUGAAGUCCCUGCGGAUGGAGCUGAGACCAGUCGAAGAUACCAGCUGGCUGCAACUGUUUAUUAAAAACACAGCACUGUGCAAACACGAAAGUGGACGUAUACGGUGUGACGCCUGCCCGGUGCCGGAAGGUUAAUUGAUGGGGUUAUCCGUAAGGAGAAGCUCUUGAUCGAAGCCCCGGUAAACGGCGGCCGUAACUAUAACGGUCCUAAGGUAGCGAAAUUCCUUGUCGGGUAAGUUCCGACCUGCACGAAUGGCGUAAUGAUGGCCAGGCUGUCUCCACCCGAGACUCAGUGAAAUUGAACUCGCUGUGAAGAUGCAGUGUACCCGCGGCAAGACGGAAAGACCCCGUGAACCUUUACUAUAGCUUGACACUGAACAUUGAGCCUUGAUGUGUAGGAUAGGUGGGAGGCUUUGAAGCGUGGACGCCAGUCUGCGUGGAGCCAACCUUGAAAUACCACCCUUUAAUGUUUGAUGUUCUAACGUUGGCCCCUUACCGGGGUUGCGGACAGUGUCUGGUGGGUAGUUUGACUGGGGCGGUCUCCUCCCAAAGCGUAACGGAGGAGCACGAAGGUUAGCUAAUCCUGGUCGGACAUCAGGAGGUUAGUGCAAUGGCAUAAGCUAGCUUGACUGCGAGCGUGACGGCGCGAGCAGGUGCGAAAGCAGGUCAUAGUGAUCCGGUGGUUCUGAAUGGAAGGGCCAUCGCUCAACGGAUAAAAGGUACUCCGGGGAUAACAGGCUGAUACCGCCCAAGAGUUCAUAUCGACGGCGGUGUUUGGCACCUCGAUGUCGGCUCAUCACAUCCUGGGGCUGAAGUAGGUCCCAAGGGUAUGGCUGUUCGCCAUUUAAAGUGGUACGCGAGCUGGGUUUAGAACGUCGUGAGACAGUUCGGUCCCUAUCUGCCGUGGGCGCUGGAGAAUUGAGGGGGGCUGCUCCUAGUACGAGAGGACCGGAGUGGACGCAUCACUGGUGUUCGGGUUGUCAUGCCAAUGGCACUGCCCGGUAGCUAAAUGCGGAAGAGAUAAGUGCUGAAAGCAUCUAAGCACGAAACUUGCCCCGAGAUGAGUUCUCCCUGAGACUUUAAGUCUCCUGAAGGAACGUUAAAGACGAUGACGUUGAUAGGCCGGGUGUGUAAGCGCAGCGAUGCGUUGAGCUAACCGGUACUAAUGAACCGUGAGGCUUAACCUU
rnacentral:rRNA from 1 species